ACGACGCUGGCGGCGUGCUUCAUACAUGCAAGUCGAACGAGAAAUUCACUUCGGUGGAUGGAAAGUGGCGGACGGUGAGUAAUAUGUAGAGAAUCUGCCCUAGAGAGGGGGACAACAGAGGGAAACUUCUGCUAAUACCCCAUAUGAGCGUAUCUUCUGAUAUUUAAAGGUCCUGCAAGGGAACGCUAAUGGAUGGCCCUGCGGAGCAUUAGCUAGUUGGUGAGGUAACGGCCCACCAAGGCGACGAUGCUUAGCUGAGCUGAGAGGCUAAACAGCCACAUUGGGACUGAGAUACGGCCCAGACUCCUACGGGAGGCAGCAGUGGGGAAUAUUGGGCAAUGGGCGCAAGCCUGACCCAGCAAUGCCGCGUGAAGGAAGAAGGCCUUCGGGUUGUAAACUUCUUUUAUGAGGGACGAAGAAAGUGACGGUACCUCAUGAAUAAGCCACGGCUAACUACGUG
rnacentral:rRNA from 1 species